rnacentral:rRNA from 1 species
AAAUUGAAGAGUUUGAUCAUGGCUCAGAUUGAACGCUGGCGGCAGGCCUAACACAUGCAAGUCGAGCGGUAACACAGAGAGCUUGCUCUCGGGUGACGAGCGGCGGACGGGUGAGUAAUGUCUGGGAAACUGCCUGAUGGAGGGGGAUAACUACUGGAAACGGUAGCUAAUACCGCAUAACGUCGCAAGACCAAAGUGGGGGACCUUCGGGCCUCAUGCCAUCAGAUGUGCCCAGAUGGGAUUAGCUAGUAGGUGGGGUAACGGCUCACCUAGGCGACGAUCCCUAGCUGGUCUGAGAGGA